rnacentral:pre_miRNA from 1 species
UCUUCAUUUCCACGUGCUCUCUCAUCGGUCAGAGAGGCGAGAUAGUGUGUGAAAUGAAGAGA